CUAAUUUCAUACUUUCAACUUAAUCUCCAUACAAAAAGUGCAAGUCUUAUUCUCGUGAGGAGCGGAGUUCGUGGGCUAGGUGCGCGUCAAGUAAGAAUCUACUCGGCACCCAACAAAUUCUCGUGGUCAUCGGAGGUCGUGG